AGAGCCUACGGGGGGCAGCAGUGAGGAAUAUUGGUCAAUGGUCAGGAGACUGAACCAGCCAAGCCGCGUGAGGGAUGAAGGUACAGAGUAUCGUAAACCUCUUUUGUCAGGGAACAAAGGCGGGGACGUGUCCCCGGAUGAGUGUACCUGAAGAAAAAGCAUCGGCUAACUACGUGCCAGCAGCCGCGGUAAUACGUAGGUGGCGAGCGUUAUCCGGAAUGAUUGGGCGUAAAGGGUGCGUAGGCGGCCUGCUAAGUCUGGAGUGAAAGGUACCGGCUCAACCGGUACAGGCUCUGGAAACUGGG
rnacentral:rRNA from 1 species